rnacentral:rRNA from 1 species
UACGGAGGGGGCUAGCGUUGUUCGGAAUUACUGGGCGUAAAGCGCACGUAGGCGGCUUUGCAAGUUAGAGGUGAAAGCCCGGGGCUCAACUCCGGAAUUGCCUUUAAAACUGCAUCGCUAGAAUUGUGGAGAGGUAAGUGGAAUUCCGAGUGUAGAGGUGAAAUUCGUAGAUAUUGGGAAGAACACCGGUGGCGAAGGCGGCGACCUGGUCCGACACUGACGCUGAGGCGCGAAAGCGUGGGGAGCAAACAGG